rnacentral:rRNA from 1 species
ACUCCUACGGGAGGCAGCAGUGAGGAAUAUUGCACAAUGGGCGCAAGCCUGAUGCAGCAACGCCGCGUGCGGGACGAAGGCCUUCGGGUCGUAAACCGCUUUUCUGAGGGACGAGCAAGGACGGUACCUCAGGAAUAAGUCUCGGCUAACUACGUGCCAGCAGCCGCGGUAAUACGUAGGAGGCGAGCGUUAUCCGGAUUUACUGGGCG